AGUGUGUGUGUGUGUAUUGUAGCAUGUACAGUCUUUGGUUUGUAUGAAGAAACUAACUUGUAAUCUAAACUAAUCUAACUCAACUCUGAUGAAGUCCACAGCUACAAAAUUUGCUUGAAACCCACCAUAAUCUGGCCAGAACACUACUUGCCAGCAGGGAUUUCACCUGAAACUCACUAUUACCACUUGACCACUGCCUGUGAGUAUUUCCACACUUCCACUACAUUUCCACAAUUAGCCAUAACUGGAUGAAGACACACCCUUAACCAGCCUCAUGUCAGUAUGCUGCCUGAUCCACCAGUUUGUAAACCUGUUAAUGAAACAAACGGGAAACAAGUGCAGUUGUUCUGCCUGUUAGAGAACUGGUGAGGUUCUCCAACAGCCACAACACCUGUCAUCACACAUCGCCAUUACGCAUGGCUCUGUGGCCAUUUAUAGUGUCAUGCAUCACCGCACAUUCUGUUUUUGUACAUACUACAUAAUAAAUAGCUUAUAUGUAGGAAAUGAGUCCAUGGGCCAGGCCAGAAUCUGGUACCAAAAUCUCUUUGGCACCACUUUGUUUGUAGGGUUCAUAAAAGUACUUUGAAACAUGAUAACCGUUUCAAAUGAGUAGCUUUACUAGUUUUUUUGGACAAUCAUUGUUUUUCACCCCACAGUAUCUGUACAGUAGGUUUGUGUGCUGUCUAUCGUAACAUGUUAUGUACCAAUAUAUGCAAUAAUUAAGUUUGAAUCAUGCAUAGACUAUAUCAUAUAUACAAAGAAAAUAAACAGGUUCUAUGAGUUGUCUUUUUCAGUAAGUGAACGUUUAGAGAAAGAGUCACCCACAGCCAAGUUCCAUGACAAAAUGAGAAAACAGAAUCUGAAGACAUUCUCAAACAUCACUAAAAGUGAUUAAAGUAAGAAAUUAGAGUAAACCAAGCACAAAACAAGGAGGUGGUCUUGGAAGCAGAGGGAAAUCUCUUUGGGCAUAUGAUCAUGGCUUCACAAAGUAGAGAUCUUCACAUUAAUGAUGUCCUGGCUCAUCCACUUGGUCCAUUGCCUUGGGCACUCUCAAAUUCAGAUGGUUCAUUGCAGAAAACUAAAAAGGCUGCUCUUGCAACAGAGUUAGAGAGAUCAGCAUCAGCAGUUGAAGAUACUGGAGAGAACUCUGCAUGCAUCAUUGAUGCAAUGUGCCUUGUUCAGAAACUGAAAGGUGAUGGCAAGACUUUUGGAGAAAUGGCUGGUUCUGUGCUGAACCUAGCAUUGCACGAAGGAGGAAACAGUAAGCUGAUAGAUGAGAGUGGUGUUUGAUGUGCACUGGAAAACAUCAAUCAAGAAUGCUGAGAGAUGCAGUCAUGGUUCAGCAAGUAGCACUCAAUGGAAGAACAUUGCCCCAGGACACAAUGUUGUGCAGUGGAGAAAGCUGUUAAGAGAUAGAGACAGAAAAACAGACUUGAUAACAUUCAUCGUGGACCAGUGGAGGCAGAGAACCAGGUAAAGCUUCAGGAGAAGCAGCUACUUGCAACCUGUGGAGAGAUAUUCUGUUUGUCUGAGCAAAAAAAGACUGGAAUGUUGCUGAAAAGCUGAAAUCUUCCCUUGAGGAGGCGGAUAUCUGUAUGCUCCUACAUGUAAAUCAUGGCUGCCAGAAUGGCUAUGAAACCACAGCUUCUGUGAGUGAGGUUACAGAUGUCAUGAUCCUUUGUCUCGAACACUGUAAGAAGAUAAACUGCCCCCGUAUCAGAAAUAUGGCACUCAGAAUUAGACAAGGUUCAUCAACAUCAGCGACCUUUCUCAGCUCCUUGGAGAUGACCUACUGUAUGUGAUGCUCUUGUAGGUGUACAUGCUUUUAUGGGUUGUGAUAGAGUAAGUGCUUUUGCAGGACGAGGAGAUGUCAGCGCUCUCAAACUUGUCAAAGGAAACAGCAUAUUCCAAGAGUCCUUCAAAUCCCUGGAAACAUCCUAGGAUGUAUCAAGGAACCUAUAAAAUCUUUUAUCUUUUAUAGGUUCCUUGGGAUGUAUCAGAGGGAUUAUACAGCAUCAUUUGGAAUCAUUUGUUUGCUGGAUGGAUGCACCAUCAUCUAGCAUAUGCGAUGUCAAUGAUCUACGUUACCUGCUGUUCUGCACCAAAGCUGCAUAUACAGCAUGCCAAUUACCAGGCAGCAGUCUGGAGGCACUGCCUGGAUAUAGUCAGACAUAGCAGAGCCAAAAGGACAUGGAUGGACAACUGAUGACAAAGGUGUGCUGAUGUUACACUAGACGCAGGACCCCCAACACCGAUGGCAGUCCUGGAGCUUAUGGCCUGCAAGUUUGUAUGGACCUGUAAGCAAACCUACAGCAAUCAGAGGGAGGAGUAGGUGGAUGUAGAAGUUGUUGUGAAACUGGUUGACUAUGAUGACGAUAAUCAAAGAGAACAUGGAUACUUGCGAAUGGAUACUAGUAUGACAGUAUAAUAUGUUUGAUGAUGAUGAUCAUCAUUGGUACAUGUAUUAAAUAAGUGAAUGAAAGAGGUAAAAUGCUUCUUUUUUUCUAUGUAUGACAUGUUCUGUUCAAAUAAAGUGACAAGAUUU